AAAUAAGGUCACAUUCACAGGUACUAGGGAUUAUGUGAAUUUUAGAGGGACACAGUUCAACCUGUAAAAAUUGCUACCUCCUUUCUCCUUUUAACCUUGUCAAACACACUGGUAGCAAACAGCAUUUAUUUAUCACUUUUUUCUUCAAUAAACAUUUGAAUGCAUACUAUUAUUUAACACCUAUCACCUAUUUUAUGGUAGGCACUUUCAUUUAAUCUCCAGAAUAGUGCACGAAGUGAUGUUAUCAGUCAUGCCUGGAGAGGUGGGGAGGUUCUAAAUUUGCUCUAGAGGACAGGAAUAUUUUCACAAAUUAGAUAGCACUUCAUCUGAGUCAAAAGAGAUUUGUAGAAAUAUACUAGGCAGUUCAAAGGUGGGUGUAAUGAGCAGCAGACUCUAAAAAGCAUUUUAUAUAAGAAAAAACAUCAUGUGUAAAGGUUGAGACAGAUGGUAAACUCCAGCAGGGCUGAGACUUUGUCGAUUUCUUUCCUGUAUCUCCAGCACUUUUGAACAGUGCCUGACUCAUUAAGUAAUUGUUUAACAAACGUAAGGGCAUCACAUGUCUAAAGAGUGGCAGGGCUUGAAGUUCAGUCGCUAGAUCCUUAAGAGCCCUUGUAAACCACACUAAGUGUAAGAAAUUAGGGCUGACAUGACGAUUCAUAGCGUUAAAGAAUUUCCGGUAUACCUGGCACCCGCUUGCCAAUCGCCCCUCUUCCCCAGAGCGUGUCCGAGGGCGCUCGCUGCCGCGAAGGCCAAAACAUGGUAGCGGCGCCCCGGCCACAUACCCCAAAGGUUUCUCUGGCCCAAGCUGGAUUUAAGCACAUGGCGGUGGGCUCGACGGCUAAUGGACCCUCCUACUCUUCUCCUCGUACUGGCUCCUACCUUCCCUCCCAAACCGGCUACCGCGCCCACUCUCGGAGGACGUCAGGCUGUGUCUAGGCCUUCCAGGAACCCCAAGGAAGGACUCCCCGCGCGCGCCCCCGCAAACCGGCCCCGCCUUCCUUCCCUCCAGAACGCCGAGAGCGCAAGCGCGCCUUCCCUAGCCGAGCGCGCGCCCGCGAGCUCCUCGCAGCCCCGUGCUCAUCCGGGUCUCGGCAGGCCUCAGCCAAUGGUGGACACUCACGGCCCCCAGGGGCGGAGCUGAGUCUUCCCUCACAUGGGGACUGUGGUCACCGCUGGCCUUUCCAGACGAUCGCAGUCAGCCGGGGAAAAGGGCAGAGACAGGGAGCCCAGCGUCUGGCCGAGGAUCCACGGUUUUGAGAUCAGGCAGCUAUCGCCCCCUAGAAGCGACUGUAUCGCGAGGAGAUUCCCCAGUCAGAGCCGCUGUAGUAAACACACUUCAGAAACGUGAGGUGCCGGGGGUCACGUGGAGGCGUGCAUCCUCCAAUGAGGAGCUGGGGGCGGGGCCGAAUCCGCUGACGCGGCGGUAGCAGAGGAGUCACCAGGGCAGCCUCGGGACCGGUCACCAGCCGGCAACGGUCCAGCGGCCUCGACCACCGCCUCAAGCUCCGGGCUCCGUCCUCCUUCCUCUUUCCCGGGCCGAGACGCAGCGUGGGCGACAGUGGCUGAAUCCUCUCGCAUCCCUCUCGGUGGUUCGCCUCGGGCAGGCAGUUUUCUCCUUCGGGGCCGCCUUGGUGGGGCCAGCUUUCCGUGACGAAUCUCCUGGGGCUGCCAGUACGGGUUCGGGCUGUCGUGGCGACUCGGGAGCCUGGAACUUGCUCACCCUUCGGGCGCCCGAGGAUCUCGAAGUUAUGCGCCUCGUCCCGGUGGUUGCGGCGGGCGCCGGCCCCUAAAGGGCGUCCGUCACAGCCGGACUCCGCCGAGUGGGCAACCUCCAUUCAUCUUCCAGCGCCCUCUCUGGUUCUCUCCUAGGACUCAUUUUUCCUUUUUCCUUUUUCCUCCCUCCGCUGCCCUUUCCUCACUCCUUGGGUGUGGCGGUUCUCGUGGAAGCGGAGGUGUCGGUUAUGAGCCGAGCCUUCCUUCUUUGAGUUUCUCCGUGGAGGAACUGGGCUGUGACCGCCGCCCGCCUCGCCCCGGGGAUGGGGGUGAACGCCGUGCACUGGUUCCGAAAGGGGCUGCGGCUGCACGACAACCCCGCCCUGAAGGAGUGCAUCCAGGGCGCCGACACCAUCCGCUGCGUCUACAUCCUCGACCCCUGGUUCGCCGGCUCCUCCAACGUGGGCAUCAACAGGUGGCGAUUUUUGCUUCAGUGUCUUGAAGAUCUUGAUGCUAAUCUGCGAAAAUUAAACUCUCGUCUGUUUGUGAUUCGUGGACAACCAGCAGAUGUGUUUCCCAGGCUUUUCAAGGAAUGGAAUAUUAGUAAACUUUCAAUUGAGUAUGAUUCUGAGCCCUUUGGAAAGGAGAGAGAUGCAGCUAUUAAGAAACUGGCUACUGAAGCUGGUGUAGAAGUAAUUGUACGAAUUUCACAUACAUUAUAUGACCUAGACAAGAUCAUAGAACUCAAUGGUGGACAACCACCUCUUACUUAUAAAAGAUUCCAGACUCUCAUCAGCAAAAUGGAACCACUGGAGAUACCAGUAGAGACAAUUACUUCAGAAGUGAUAGAAAAUUGCACAACUCCUCUCUCUGAUGACCAUGAUGAGAAAUAUGGAGUCCCUUCACUGGAAGAGCUAGGUUUUGAUACAGAUGGCUUACCCUCUGCAGUAUGGCCAGGUGGAGAAACUGAAGCACUUACACGUUUGGAAAGGCAUUUGGAAAGAAAAGCUUGGGUGGCAAACUUUGAAAGACCUCGAAUGAAUGCAAAUUCCCUGCUUGCUAGCCCUACUGGACUCAGUCCUUACCUCCGAUUUGGUUGCUUGUCAUGUCGACUAUUUUACUUUAAGUUAACAGAUCUCUACAAAAAGGUAAAGAAGAAUAGUUCUCCUCCCCUUUCCCUUUAUGGGCAACUAUUGUGGCGUGAAUUUUUCUAUACAGCAGCAACAAAUAACCCACGUUUUGACAAAAUGGAAGGAAACCCCAUCUGUGUUCAGAUUCCUUGGGAUAAGAAUCCUGAGGCUUUAGCAAAAUGGGCAGAAGGCCGGACAGGCUUUCCAUGGAUUGAUGCCAUCAUGACACAGCUUCGUCAGGAGGGUUGGAUUCACCAUUUAGCCAGACAUGCAGUUGCUUGCUUCCUGACACGAGGUGACCUGUGGAUUAGUUGGGAAGAAGGAAUGAAGGUAUUUGAAGAAUUAUUGCUUGAUGCAGAUUGGAGCAUAAAUGCUGGAAGUUGGAUGUGGCUGUCUUGUAGUUCCUUUUUCCAACAGUUUUUUCACUGCUAUUGUCCUGUUGGUUUUGGUAGAAGAACAGAUCCCAAUGGAGACUAUAUCAGGCGUUAUUUGCCUGUUCUAAGAGGCUUCCCUGCAAAAUAUAUCUAUGAUCCCUGGAAUGCACCAGAAGGCAUCCAGAAAGUAGCCAAAUGUUUGAUAGGAGUUAAUUAUCCUAAGCCAAUGGUGAACCAUGCUGAAGCAAGCCGUUUGAAUAUUGAAAGGAUGAAACAGAUUUAUCAGCAGCUUUCACGAUAUAGAGGACUAGGCCUUCUUGCAUCAGUGCCUUCUAAUCCUAAUGGGAAUGGAGGCCUCAUGGGGUAUUCUCCCGGAGAAAAUAUCCCAGGUUGUAGCAGCAGUGGAAGUUGCUCUCAAGGGAGUGGCAUUUUACAUUAUGCUCCUGGAGACAGUCAGCAGACUCACCUAUUAAAACAAGGAAGAAGCUCCAUGGGCACUGGCCUCAGCAGUGGGAAACGUCCUAGUCAGGAAGAGGACACUCAGAGUAUCGGUCCCAAAGUCCAACGACAGAGCACUAAUUAGAAAACAUUCAGGAGGAGUACUGUUGCAGCUGAAAUUGGUGGGGAGUUCAGUACUUUUUUUCAGUUAAAUUAUUUCAAAAUGUUCUUCAUUGAUGGAAAGUCGUUACAUUUUCAAAUGUAUUUCUAAUGACAUUUCUGUGGUUUUUAACUUUUUAAUGAAUUUCAUGAAACAAAUGAUAAUUUGUAUAUAAAGAACUUGGUCAAAGAAUUUGCUUAAUGUAAAUAUAAAGUCAUAAUUAGUAUAGAUCCAUCAAUAUAUUUUUGAUAAUUUUUCAUGUAUGGUAAAAAUUAAAGUGGCAAACUGAGACUCUGAUGUGAUAAUCAAAGUUUUGAGAGUCAGUAUGUGAAAAUAGGUUUUUAGACUUUCUUAAAAGACUUGUUAAAAUUUUAGGACAAUUUUCUUGAUAUCAUUGUUUGAUCUAACUUUGUACUGUUUGAUAAUGUUUUAGAAAAUGUGUAUAAUCGAACUUGGUAGUUAUAGCCUCUGUUAACACAGACAAUAUAUGUUUUAAAGCUUCAUGUAUGCCUUUUUGAUCAAAAUUUGUGGAAGUAUCAUGUGUUAAGUUCUCCUUGUCUCCCUUUCUUUGUUCAUUUGCAGCUAAAGUGACCUUGUUAUUAAAAGUAUAUGUAUAUAUGGAA